ensembl:Mt_tRNA
AAGGCUUUAGCUUAAUUAAAGUAUCUGGGUUGCAUUCAGAAGAUAUAGGAUAGGGUCUUAUAAGUCUUA